UUUUCAGCCGCCGCGGUAAUACGUAGGGGGCAAGCGUUGUCCGGAAUCAUUGGGCGUAAAGCGCGCGUAGGCGGCCCGGUAAGUCCGCUGUGAAAGUCAAAGGCUCAACCUUUGAAAGCCGGUGGAUACUGUCGGGCUAGAGUCCGGAAGAGGCGAGUGGAAUUCCUGGUGUAGCGGUGGAAUGCGCAGAUAUCAGGAGGAACACCGAUAGCGAAGGCAGCUCGCUGGGACGGUACUGACGCUGAGGCGCGAAAGCGUGGGGAGCGAACAGGAUUAGAUACCCCGGUAGUCC
rnacentral:rRNA from 1 species